UGGGAGAUCGUCUAACGGUAGGACAUCUCCCUUUGAAGGAGAGUAUCUUGGUUCGAUUCCAAGUCUCCCAGCCU
rnacentral:tRNA from 2 species